rnacentral:rRNA from 1 species
GAUGAACGCUGGCGGCGUGCCUAAUACAUGCAAGUCGAGCGAAGCGGGGACGGGUGAGUAACACGUGGAUAACCUCCUAUAAGACUGGGAUAACUUCGGGAAACCGGAGCUAAACCGGAUACUUCUGGAUGGAUCCGCGCUGCAUUACCUAGUUGGUAAGGUAACGGCUUAACAAGGCAACGAUGCAUAUCCGACCUGCGAGGGUGAUCUGCCACACUGUAACUGGGACACGGUCCAGACUCCUACGGGAGGCAGCAGUAGGUAAUCUUCCGCAAUGGGCGAAAGCCUGACGGAGCAACGCCGCGUGUGUGAUGAAGGUCUUCGGAUCGUAAAACUCUGGUAGUAGGGAAGCGGUACCUAAUCAGAAAGCCACGGCUAACUACGUGCCAGCAGCCGCGGUAAUUC